rnacentral:rRNA from 1 species
UACGUAGGGGGCUAGCGUUGUCCGGAAUCAUUGGGCGUAAAGAGCGUGUAGGCGGCCCGGUAAGUCCGCUGUGAAAGUCGGGGGCUCAACCCUCGAAUGCCGGUGGAUACUGUCGGGCUAGAGUGCGGAAGAGGCGAGUGGAAUUCCUGGUGUAGCGGUGAAAUGCGCAGAUAUCAGGAGGAACACCAAUUGCGAAGGCAGCUCGCUGGGACGUAACUGACGCUGAGGUGCGAAAGCGUGGGGAGCGAACCGG